UACGUAGGGACCGAGCGUUGUCCGGAAUCAUUGGGCGUAAAGAGCGUGUAGGCGGCCACUUAAGUCCUGCGUGAAAUCUUGCGGCUCAACCGCAAGCGGUCGUGGGAAACUGGGUGGCUAGAGUGCGGGAGAGGAGAGUGGAAUUCCUGGUGUAGCGGUGGAAUGCGCAGAUAUCAGGAGGAACACCGAGUGCGAAGGCAGGUCUCUGGGCAUUAACUGACGCUGAGGAGCGAAAGCAUGGGGAGCGAACAGG
rnacentral:rRNA from 1 species